UGAGUAAUGCCUAGGAAAUUGCCCUGAUGUGGGGGAUAACCAUUGGAAACGAUGGCUAAUACCGCAUGAUGCCUACGGGCCAAAGAGGGGGACCUUCGGGCCUCUCGCGUCAGGAUAUGCCUAGGUGGGAUUAGCUAGUUGGUGAGGUAAGGGCUCACCAAGGCGACGAUCCCUAGCUGGUCUGAGAGGAUGAUCAGCCACACUGGAACUGAGACACGGUCCAGACUCCUACGGGAGGCAGCAGUGGGGAAUAUUGCACAAUGGGCGCAAGCCUGAUGCAGCCAUGCCGCGUGUGUGAAGAAGGCCUUCGGGUUGUAAAGCACUUUCAGUCGUGAGGAAGGUAGUGUAGUUAAUAGCUGCAUUAUUUGACGUUAGCGACAGAAGAAGCACCGGCUAACUCCGUGCCAGCAGCCGCGGUAAUACGGAGGGUGCGAGCGUUAAUCGGAAUUACUGGGCGUAAAGCGCAUGCAGGUGGUUUGUUAAGUCAGAUGUGAAAGCCCGGGGCUCAACCUCGGAAUUGCAUUUGAAACUGGCAGACUAGAGUACUGUAGAGGGGGGUAGAAUUUCAGGUGUAGCGGUGAAAUGCGUAGAGAUCUGAAGGAAUACCGGUGGCGAAGGCGGCCCCCUGGACAGAUACUGACACUCAGAUGCGAAAGCGUGGGGAGCAAACAGGAUUAGAUACCCUGGUAGUCCACGCCGUAAACGAUGUCUACUUGGAGGUUGUGGCCUUGAGCCGUGGCUUUCGGAGCUAACGCGUUAAGUAGACCGCCUGGGGAGUACGGUCGCAAGAUUAAAACUCAAAUGAAUUGACGGGGGCCCGCACAAGCGGUGGAGCAUGUGGUUUAAUUCGAUGCAACGCGAAGAACCUUACCUACUCUUGACAUCCAGAGAACUUUCCAGAGAUGGAUUGGUGCCUUCGGGAACUCUGAGACAGGUGCUGCAUGGCUGUCGUCAGCUCGUGUUGUGAAAUGUUGGGUUAAGUCCCGCAACGAGCGCAACCCUUAUCCUUGUUUGCCAGCGAGUAAUGUCGGGAACUCCAGGGAGACUGCCGGUGAUAAACCGGAGGAAGGUGGGGACGACGUCAAGUCAUCAUGGCCCUUACGAGUAGGGCUACACACGUGCUACAAUGGCGCAUACAGAGGGCAGCCAACUUGCGAAAGUGAGCGAAUCCCAAAAAGUGCGUCGUAGUCCGGAUUGGAGUCUGCAACUCGACUCCAUGAAGUCGGAAUCGCUAGUAAUCGUGGAUCAGAAUGCCACGGUGAAUACGUUCCCGGGCCUUGUACACACCGCCCGUCACACCAUGGGAGUGGGCUGCAAAAGAAGUAGGUAGUUUAACCUUCGGGGGGACGCUUACCACUUUGUGGUUCAUGACUGGGGUGAAGUCGUAACAAGGUAGCGCUAGGGGAACC
rnacentral:rRNA from 1 species